CCGCUGCUAUCAGAGUGGGACUAAGCCAUGCGAGUCAACGCAGCAAUGCGUGGCAUACGGCUCAGUAACACGUAGUCAACAUGCCCAGGGGACGUGGAUAACCUCGGGAAACUGAGGAUAAACCGCGAUAUGCCAAGGUUUCUGGAAUGGACAUUGGCUGAAACCUACAUGGCCCCUGGAUUGGACUGCGGCCGAUCAGGCUGUUGGUGAGGUAAUGGCCCACCAAACCUGUAACCGGUACGGGCUUUGAGAGAAGGAGCCCGGAGAUGGGCACUGAGACAAGGGCCCAGGCCCUAUGGGGCGCAGCAGGCGCGAAACCUCUGCAAUAGGCGAAAGCUUGACAGGGUUACUCUGAGUGAUGCCCGCUAAGGGCAUCUUUUGGCACCUCUAAAAAUGGUGCAGAAUAAGGGGUGGGCAAGUCUGGUGUCAAGCCGCCGCGGUAAUACCAGCACCCCGAGUGGUCGGGACGAUUAUUGGGCCUAAAGCAUCCGUAGCUUGUUCUGCAAGUCCUCCGUUAAAUCCACCUGCUCAACAGAUGGGCUGCGGGGGAUACUACAGGG
rnacentral:rRNA from 1 species